GACCUCUCUUCAGGUGAG
rnacentral:rRNA from 1 species